rnacentral:tRNA from 1 species
GGGAGAGUGGCUCAGUGGUAGAGUGCUUGCCUUGCAUGCAUGAGGCCCUGGGUUCGAUUCCUCAGCACCA